GGCGGAUUUGAAUAUAUUGAUUUACUAUGAAACUAACAUAAUAAAUUAUUUUUGUAAAAACGAUGGGGAGUUAUAACCUUACAAUGAAAUCAAACUUAAAACAAUUAAUUCAAAGAAUUCUUAAGAAGAAAAUAUUCAGCCAUAAUAUAUGAAAUACAGUGCAUGUAUGUUUAAAGCAUUUUGUAGGAUCAAAAUGAAAUAUUGAUUUCUCUAUAUUGCUGUGUGGGGUUGACGGAAACUUCUUUGGUUCUCCCGGAAGAAAAAUUCUGAAGUUCUAAUCACACAUGCAUCUACUUUGUUUAUUUUAGGUAAAGAUGAUAUAAUUGGCCGUGAUCUCAAUGACCUAGAAUGCUCGAGAAAAUCGUGCAACUUUGGAUGUACACUUUGUUACUAUGAUAGAGUUACACUUAUUUAAAGAAACUUUGAAUACAUAUCCGGAAUUUUCAAAAGAAUUCAAGGAUAAAAUAGUGACAUUCAGUCUUAAGCGGAUGCUGAAGUGUUUCUUCGUUUGACACCAUCUCGACAAGUGGGCGAUCUACCUGCUAGCACGGGACCGCAGUAAGGUGAAGGUGAGCCGACAUCUAUGACAUUCUAAAUUGCUCUGUAGCAAGCCAAGGUGACACAAAUACAACGUUCAAAGACAGAACAGUGAAAAGAUGGUUAGAUACUGCAGCCACGAGAAUCAAUAAGGCUUACGUUGCCAACGCUACAGAUAGUGGACCCAGCAUAAAGACGUAUUACAUCACAGCGUUAUAUUUUACGUGUACGUCACUGACGUCAAUAGGAUUCGGAAACGUGUCACCAAAUACUAAUGGAAUUGACAUGCCGGUAAAGAUGAUAUAUUUAUAUUUGGUGGUGACUGCAGUGACGUGGAAUGCUCGGGAAAAUCGUUCUGUUUUGUACGUGCCCUUAGUUACUAUGAUAUUAACAAGAUAGAGUUACACGUGCUGAAAGAAACAAUGUAUAUAUAACCAGAAUUUUCAAAAAGAAUU